GAAUCCUGUUGGGAGCUUCACCUGAUGGCUUAGUUGUUCGACCACCAACAUGCAGUGUAUUUUAUCAAACUCCAGAAGCCAAAGACGCCAUUCCUAAUAUUGUAGAGGUGAAGUGUCCAUAUACAGCAUCGUCUUCAACAGUAGCAGAUGGGGCACAAAAUUUGAAGGAUUUUUCAUAGAUCUUAAACAAGAUACCCUGUGCCUGAAAACCAGUCACCCAUACUAUCAUCAAAUUCAAGGCCAGCUACACAUAUGCAACAAAACAUUCUGCGACUUAAUUGUGUGGACAAGAGUAGACUGCAUUGUGAUUAGAAUAGUAAAAGACAUUAAAUGGACAGCAAAUGUUCCAAAGCUGAUAGAUUUCUACAUUAACAUUUUCAUUCCAGCACUGAUGGAAAACUGAGUUCUGGUUUGAACUUCUUGACACUUAGUUUUGUACCUCUAGAAUUUUCUAACAAUGGAAAAUGGGUAAUCAUGUUAAAUGUGUUGAAUGUUCGCAAGUCUCAUAAAUGUAUGAUAUGAUAUGUCACAAUCCAUCAUAAAACUUCUGGCUUAUAAGACUAUUUUAAAUAGCAAUGAUGAUUAAUAAAAUCUAUGUACUACAUAAAAAAAGAAUAUCAAAAUUUAGAAUCAUUUUAUUAAUGAAUUGAAGAUGUUAUUCUCAAAGUGAAAAUGUAACAUUUUGGUCUUUCUUAAUAGAUAAAUUGUUGAAAACAUGAA